GCGGGCGUCGCAUAAUGGUAGUGCUCUAGCCUUCCAAGCUAGUAGUGUGGGUUCGAUUCCCAUCGCCCGCUCCA
rnacentral:tRNA from 1 species